AACUUUAAAUUACCUAUAAAUUGUCUUAUUAACAUCUAAAUAUUUUGGAUUUGGGCUAAAGCCCCCAAUGUUUUGAGACCCUACAAACGCCCCUGCUGUCCACCCUCCAACGUUAAAACUCUCCAACCAUAGUGGAGUUUCCUGGAAGAGAAGAAACAAAGCACUUCAUCCUCCAGAACCUGUUCACAGCCUGUCAGCCUCAAGCCAGCGUGGAAAGGGAUUUAUUUCCCCCCGGUCUUGCCAAGAACCCAACCCAUAGAGACCCAGCGUUUGUCCACCAGCUCCAGUCCUGGUUCCAGUCCAACCUUGAUCCAUAUUUCUAAAUAAACUGUUAAAACAC